rnacentral:snRNA from 1 species
GGAUGUGAGGGCGAUCUGGCUGCGACAUCUGUCACCCCAUUGAUCGCCAGGGUUGAUUUGGCUGAUCUGGCUGGCUAGGCGGGUGUCCCCUUCCUCCCUCACCGCUCCAUGUGUGUCCCUCCCGAAGCUGCGCACUCGGUCGAAGAGGACGACCUUCCCCGAAUAGAGGAGGACCGGUCUUUGGUCAAGGGUAUACGAGUAGCUGCGCUCCUCUGCUAGAACCUCCAAACAAGCUCUCAAGAAAAAUCUUUGGGUGAACUUCUGCCCAUUCAGCUGCAAUUGAGAGAUUACAAUCAUUGAGAU